UUGCUGCAGCUGCUUUUCCCAGUCACCCGUAGGCCAUUCUCCCUGAGAUGAUAAAAUGGCUCACCUCACCCCAGGCCUAAGCUGGUGGAGGCCAGGGCUGUUUUGCAAGAAAUAAAUCGUGUUAUAUGCUGCCUACUACAUCAUUGGUAGAAAGCAAUGGAAGAAUACUGAAGAUACAGGUGGGGGGAUUCAUUGAAAAACCCAACUUGACCUGGGAAUCACAAAGGCAAGAAACAGGCUGGAAUGACCGAGGCGCCUAUUUAAUUUGAAUGUCCCAGCCCGGACCCACGGAAUGAGCAUGCCCAGAAUACCCUGAACACUAGGGCCGAAGAGCAUAUUGUUUGAAA
rnacentral:lncRNA from 1 species